UGCAAGGAUGUUUCUAGGCGGAUUUCUGCUGAUCAAGUUUUAAGUAAGUUGGCCUUUGCAAUAUUCUUUGUUACUGCGAAGUUUCAUCUCUUUCUUUUUCUUUUGCCUUUUUCUGCUCGCUCAGGGUUUAAUCUGGGUUCCAUCUUACGUGGUUCUGUUGAUUUUUUUUUUUUGUGGGGGGGUGGUGGUGAGGAUCUCUGGUAAUUUCUUGUGUGUUUUGCAAUCGCAAUGCUCUGUUUUUGUUUGUGUGUCUUUAGGAACAUAGGUCCAAUAUUGAUUUGGUUGGUUAAAGAAAUGAAAUUGGAUCUCUGGUAAUUUCAGUUGUUAUCUUAGCUGUUGGAUAAGAAUAGAUGUCUAAUAAGAAUUGUGUUGUAUUUUGCGUCUGCCUUGGUCUUUCCCUCAUUCUUUCCCCAAGCAAAAGUUUUUUCUGCUUAUUAGCCAUUUAAUCGUGAGUUUGAUCUAAUGUAUUUUGUGUUAAUUUCAGGACAUCCCUGGGUCAUCAGUGGAGGAGAGAUCAGAUCAAUGGCUGAUCUCACCUGAAAUCCUAAAAAGGGUGUAUCUACUAUAUAUAUAGAUAUAUAUAUAUAUCACUAUAAUAUCUCAGUACAAGUCUGAGUUCCUCUGCUGUACGUAGACCAUCUAGAGACCAUAUAUGAGAGUCUGAAAGAUGGUUGUUGGGGAAAAGAAGGAAGAAAGAACAGUCGGCCGCAUCUUUACAGCUCACAGCCAAGGAUGGAGGGCUGUUGCUUCCCAUUUUGCUUUUACUUUUCCUCAGGUGUGGAGGAGCAGAAUCUGAGGCUGUAAAUAUAUGCGGAUGGUUAUGUAUUAGUAGUAGUACUGCUGCUGAGAGUGCAGCUGUGUAGAUCAGAUGCUGAGUUUUCUUCUUUCCAUGCAACUGUGUACCCCCUUUUUCUUUUUCUUUUUUCCAGCGUAAUGGGGACUAUGAGGUUGAGGAAAUUGAAGGAACCAGCACUAAUGCUUGUCUACUGCCGUAUCUUGUUGAGCUGCACGCUGUAGAAAUGUUUUUCCUAUAAUAAAGUAGUAUCUUGAAUCUUGAAGAAAUUUCCACAUCUUUCUUUUUGAGUUUGGAAUCUUGUUGGGAGGCAAAGCAUUAGCAAAAUCCUAUGUUGAAAUUCGUGUAAACUAGUCGUAGAAUUCGGAUGGCGAAAAGAUGAGGAAAGUUCCGUGUAACUGAUGGAUGUACGGGUUGUUGUACUGAUACUUAUCAAAGUUCUCUGUGGCGCCCAUCAAGGAGAGAUCGAUGGCUUUACGUCUUUUCCUUUGUCAAUUUAGCAUAAUGGACGCCAAGGAAAACCAGUUUUUGGAUGCGGAACAAAGGAAGGAAGUUAUCUUCACGGUUUUGCUGGAAGUAUAUUACGUGCAUAUAUGCCUUUUGAGUGUUUUUGUGGACUGUGAUUCUGUUACCGUCUGAUUAAAGUUACUCCACCUUCUUGUUUUGCUUAUGUGUAAGGUGAGAAGUUGACACCGGAGAGAGAAGAGGAAUAGAGUUUAGAUUAGUUUGGCUGUCUCUCGCCCUGUAUACUAGUACUACUCAUCGACUUUCUUUGAGGACCACAAUGAUGGUUGAGUUGCACAUGCAUUGUUUUGACACUUCGAUGAAUAGUUGAGUGACACGUAUUGGUUAGCCCCAAAGGUCCCUGUGCUAUUGGUCCGUGCUCCGUAGCACAGGGAACAGAGAAAGGGAAAUUGUGGUACAUACUACUGGACCACUAACCCAAAAAAAAAAAAAAAGCCAGAGAUAGAUGGAAUGGGAAUAUGAAAUUCAAUUAAAGAGGUUUAGGAGUUUAUCCUAAAUACUACAUAACUGGCACGACAUAUCUUAUUAUUAUUAUAGGAUAUUAUAAAACGUGAGUAGGGAUUUGAAAUUAACAAAAAGUGUUAAAAUUUAUACUUUCAAAAAUAUCCUUCUAAUAUUUGUUAUUAUUUAUCUACAUCUUAUCUGAAAAACUUCCCACUUCUACCGCAACAUAACUAUUACUGCUACACUCGAUUAACUGAUUAACUAAUCCACUAACGAAAAUUGCAUCACCUCCCAAAAAUCACUUUGUUUUUUUUUUUUUCCAAAAUAUGCACGCAUAUAAUGCGUGACCCACCCGCUAGUUGUAAAGAAUUUUUACAUUCCUCUUACCAUUUGUUUUCUCGUUUUCUCAAGAACAAAGUGAAGUGAAACGAUCAACCAAAGCCAAUUUCAUAUAAUUACAAGUGUAGUUAUGAUAAAUCUCUAAUCAAUUAGAUUGCCACCCACGCCUGUAUAAUUACACGGAGGUAUCUUUCAUGUUUUCAAGCGGAUGGGAGUAAAGCCGUUUCCCCACCCUAGAACUAGAAGCUACUCGGGACAAAUGGAUAAGCACAUUAGGAUCUAGCACAAACAAUCUAAUAGGUAGCAGGUUACAGAAGAGCGGAUGGAUGACUGGGUACGCAUGAUAAUUGAUUUUUGAUAAAAGUCCAAAAAGCGAACCCCAUGUGUAAUUAGGUAAGACGUGUAGCGUUAUAAGGACGAAAGUUAGGAGUACUAUUUUAGAUCUGUGGAAUAUCAUAUCAGUUUGGUAUGUUGACAAUUGAUAGUUGCUUUUUUUUUUUUUUUUUUUGGGUGAAAACCGAAAUGGGACCCACCAAAUAGUCGACGCAAUUACUAGGUCUCAAAAUCUAAGGUGGAACGUUGAAUUAUUGAUAACGUGCGUGGUUGAUAAGUUAUCUUUCCUGCUAUCUUUUUGUUCGUUCCAUCAUGCAACAAAUUCGUAGUUUUAGAUAUUUAACUUUUGGAAUUAAAAUAUUUUGGAACCAGCAAUCAGAAAAACAAAAGUGCAACUUUCGCUGGGUUGGUUUUUGUGUUUUAGAGUAAUUUUAUAGUUAGCAGUUUUGGCUUUUUUGGAUUGCUUUUUCCUAAAUAUUUUGUAAAAAAAUUACUGUAACAAUUUGAUAUAUAUGAAGUAAAAAGGUGAUUGAAAUUGUGCUGCUGUCCAAACAAACAUAGGGAGUAGGAAAGGAAUGAACUAAUACGAGUAAAGUUGGCGAGAAAUGGACUAAAGUUCCAAAAAAUGAGGAAGAAAUCACCACCAUUUAUUAAGUGCUUGUCUUUUAGACAAAAGUACAAUUAUGAACCACCAACUCAUUAUUUUCUUUUGCAUCAAAUAACCAAUAAAUUAACCCCGUAUUUGAUUUUUCGAAGAUCACCAAUUAUUUGUUCUUCAGAGAUGCUUGCAAAACUCUCUAAUUUUCUGGAGAAACUCGCAAUUUCGCCAAAGCUAGUGUAUCAUCAAUUCCUCAUUUUUCUUCACGGGAGAAUCAUCUGGUAAAACGGCAAUACAAUAAAAGAGAGUGCAAAGGCCGCACAAAAAGAAAGAAAAAUUCUUGAUGUAGAAAGGAGAUUCCUUUUGUCUGAUGCCAAAUAUCCGCAUUUUCAGGAGGCAUGAUUUUUUUUUUGAAACAAUAGUGUCUGAUCUUCACCAACCUUCUAGAUACAUAAAAGAUUACGUUGAGCAGUUCAACUUUGAAGAUUCCACCAAAUCUACCCGCAAGAAAUAUGACAAAAAGAAAAGUAAUUUCCCAACUUGCGAUUCCUCUAAUAAGAUAAUAUAUGUGUCAAAAAAAAUCUUAAUGAGUUUCUAGAUUUGGCUGAAGAGAUUGGAUGGAAUCAGAAUUUAAGUUUAGUGAUUACCUAUGCAUUUAGUUAUCUCAGUUCUUGGUUGGGUGGCUAGUCCCUGACCAUCAAAUUACCAAACCACCUCUGCAAAAUCCAAUUUAAACCCAUACCCAUUAAAAUGAUGAGAUCUCUAAACUGUUUAAUUAAUCAUGCAGAAUUAAACUAAUACAUCAACUUCAUCGUUGCCUAAGCUGGCUGGCGCCCCUGCUUCAAAAGGCCGGCUGAUGUUUCACUCAGUUACACUGCCUCAAAUUGCAUCAGCCUUCGACUUAUAAUAAAGCAAUUCAAUUUCAAAAAAUUAUAAAUAAUAUUCGAUGUGGCCGCCCAUGACGAGCAGUCUAUUUAUUUGAUUCCAUAAUUUCCAUUUUCAAUUAGCAGUUGGGCAGUAGAAUCAAUGUAGAAGGUCUUCAGUCUUUUUAAGUCUCAAGUCUAAUGUCAAGUAUACAAGUACUUUAUUAUAAAUUUAUGAAGAGAAGCUACCAGUUUUCUUCCUUGACGAUCGAUGGGCUAUAUGGGGAACAAGUCUCGUCUUAGUUUUUCGAAAUAGUUUUGUACUCUUUCUGUCCCAUUUUGAUAGUCCUAAUUCUUUUUUUCACACAAAUUUAGAUUGCUAUUUUUUCUAAAAUACCUUUCAUUAAAUAAAGUUGACUUUUCAUAUAUCAAUAUAUUUGGGAAAAUCUAAAUGCAUUAAAUGGGGUAGGUUAUAUUCAAUACUAACAAUCUAUAUUAAAUAACAUAUAAUUUAUAGUAAUAACAACUUAUAUUGAAUAAGGGUAUUUUAGAGAAAUUAAAAAAUAACUACAUUUUUUCAAUUGGAAAGUGGAUUACAACUUGGAACAGACGAAAACGAAAAAUAGAACUAUCAAAGUGGGACGGAGGAAAUUAGUAUUUUUUUGUGAAACUAAAAAAUUCAAGUUGGAACCAAUUCCAAUGAAGGAUCUUUUACCCGAAGUCGAAAGCAUUGGGAGGAAUAUGCUUUUAGAGCAUUCCGAAAUUUUGCGUGCUUGAAAUUGAAUGAGGGAGGGAGAUCAGUGGUCCUGCAUGCAGACUUAUCGAUAAUAGCCCAGGCAACUAUCAGAAACUUUCCAAUUUCCAAAUGAGACUUUCAGGUGUGAAAGAGAGAAGAUGCAUCCUGUGAAAGGGUCAAAAGUCCAUCGUGCCAUGUGGGAUUUGGAAAGGUGUGUGUGUUGGAGUAGUGCAUAGGAUAUUGGACCAAAAUUUCUUGGCGACAGUAAAUGGACCAGGUUUUGUCAGUUAGUCAAAGGUUAUAAUUAUAGCACUCAGAUAAGCGAACUCGAUUAUUGAAGUUCACUGGCAGUUUGCUUAUGGCCAUUGGUCAAGAUAAGAUAAGUUCAAAUACUCCUGCCUCGUUUGAAGAAAAAUUUUUAUAAUCUCUGUGAAUAUUCUUUUUAUAUAAUUUUUAAUUACUUUUUAUCUUACAUAUAUUAUACUAUAAAAAAUAUUUUAAUAAAUUUUUAUUAUGUAAAAAUAAUAUUUAUAAAAAAUAUAAAAAUUUUGUUGAAGCAAUACUCACGUCAUAAAAAAGUGAUACAGUAACUUUUGAAAGUAUCUAACGCCUGCUUUUGGCCAUGGAAUUCGUGCGUCAUCAUGUCUUUGAUCGGCAAGAAAAAAAACACUCAAUACACCCGACCCGACAGAUUGAUAUAAUGGUCAAAUGAGGGCACAUUUCCUAGUAUUUCACAGCUAAGAAAAAUUUGGAGACAUGAUCUGGGGUUCAAAGUUUUGACCAUCAUGCUAAUUGAUCUCAUCUCUAAUUGGGGAACAGAAAAUCAACUAGAUAAGUAGCAUCGCGAGAAAAUGUAGACGAACGAUCACACUAGUACAGCAUUUCUUAAUUUCCUCGAGACCUGCUUAAAGAAAAGAAAAGUCACUUAUGGAGUAGAGAUUCCUUUUGUCUAUGGGGCUUUGUUUGAAUUGCAUUUUUUUAGAUUUUUUGUAAAAAAAUUACUGUAACGAUUUGAUAUAUGUGAGGUAAAAAAGUAAUUGAAAAAUGUGUACACGAAAAAUUUUCUGAUUUUUGUCAUUUUGUCGACAGCUUGGUCAUCUUAAAUGAAGAAUCCGUCAAAUAACUUGUCUUCUUCUAGUUCUAGAUGUUUCAGUUUCUGGAGGCCGGUUUAAAAAAUUUUUACUCAUUUAAAUAUUUUUUUUAAGCAAUACAUUGGUCCUUUGAUGGAUAAUUUUGUCCUUACCUUUAUGUUGUUUCCCUAUAUCCCCCCCCCCCUUUUUUAAAUUGCGUUCAACUUGUCAAAUUUGAUGCAUAUUCACUUUUCCAUUUUUGAUCUACCUGUUGCACUCGUGACAUUAAAACGAGAAAGAAAAUUCUUUAGGUCAUUUAUAAAAUAUGAGUGUCACAAAUAAAGCAUGUUUUAAAUGGUUCUGGACUUGACCUCAAUUGAGGUCCAUAGUUUCUUACCCAAAGAAAAUGAAGAAACUUAGCAGCCCAUAAAUUCUUAUCGUUUGAUUAGUACGUAGAUACUUCAACUUUCUCCUUGGGAAUUUAAAUUUAACUGAAAAAGCAAAAGUAUGAGGGAAGUCAAAACAGUUGAGAGAGUUGAAAGCCAACGCUGUCAUGUUUGACCAGGAGAAAAGUCGUCCCGCUUAUACAAAGUCCCAGCGGGUUUAAAUUAUAAGCUCUGCAAGCCUCCAAAUUAUAAACGGAACUACUGAUUUAGCGCGCAUCUGAAUCACGUGCUUUGCUCGGAAUCAAUCAGCUUAGCAUCUUCAUCGUUUUAUUCUUUUCCUAUUUUGUUUUCCCUUUUUUUUUUUUUGGUCUGUUUCGUUGUUUCUACGAUGUUUAAAUGAGAAUCACAUAGGGCGGCAUUCCGAGCUUGUUUGUGCGAUUCAAAAACUGCGGCUGAGUUAUGAAAGAUUUAGCCGAAAACGGUUUUAGUAUUAUAUGGCCCAAACUUUCCACCCAAAUUAAUCAAACAGUGCGAUUGCUACUGGGAUCACAAAAAACUAGAUGGCCCAUACGUCUCAAAACCGUAGAAUGAUUGAAAGAUUUGAAGGACCUGAACACUGCUGAACGUUCUUCCUCCAUUUUCAGCAAAUGCCCAAAACUUACACAGGAGGUCAAAUAUUCAGUGCCUUGCGAAGCUGUUAGCAGGUAGGUAGAAUGUAGGUACCGUUUUGUUUUUCCCCCUACGAUAAGCAGAUGACUCGGGGAAUGCAACAUUAGGAAGAAGCAGAACAAACUGUGACAAGAAUCCCUGCGCUGUUAUUGGUGGGCACAUAAUUUUGACACAUUUUUGAUAGGUGCGUGGAAGUUACUGCAGUAUACAGAGGAAAAGGAUGAGAAUACAUCCUCGACAGCCAACAUACACGGGGGAAAAAAUUACUCUUGUAUUCCUUGUGGGAGGAUAUAGUCUCAAUUUUUACAAUUUUGUCAUGGUACAAUGAAACAAAAUGCAUCUUCAAUUUCUAGCAGAUAGCCAUCUUGCUGGGGUGACCAUGCAUGCAAUUCAAAGUACUGCCACUUGAUGAUUUGGAACUGGAACUCAAAUUGCACCAAGGAAAGGCUGCAAGCAAGUAGAUUAUCAAGAAUGAGCAAAGUCCAAAAGUAUGGUACAGCAUGCUAGAACAGCCUGCAGCUACUGCAUACAAUCCAGGAAGGUUCUAAUUCAACAGAUUUUCAUCUUAACAUAACAGUACGUUCAUAUAGGUGAAGAUUCUACUAUUGUACACUCAUAGCAUAUUCUACCGAAAAGCAGGACAGAAGAAUAUAAGAGAGAGAGAGAGAGAGAGUGUUCUAAUCAAAGUACAAUGUAUUGAAAUUGCCUAAUUUAUUUUGCUGCAAACAGUUUUUCUCUGAAUUGUCAGAUGAAUCACACAACUAGGAAACGAGUUUUCUCCACAAAUAUAGAUCCAUUUGAAUCCUAAUAUCUAUGACUUAUGCCGCACGUUACAUUUCAAUUCUGCUCAUGAAAAGGGCGGCAACUGCUUAUUAGGCAAUAUAAUAUCUCAAACUUCAUGACAGCAAAUGGGCAGCCUCCUUAGAUACCAUACAACUAACUGCAACAAGAACGUCUUUACUCUAAUUCAGGCAACUUUUUUCCCCAUUCGGGUCAAAGUAAGUACUUAAUUGUUAACUCCAGAGCCAUAAAUCACAGGAACCACAUGAAUUUGGGACACUGUAAAAGCCAUUAAAUACUUUUCGAGGUGCAUCUUACCUCAGAGCAAGGAAUGCACAGGGAAAAUCUUGUCUGGGACCAUAUACAGAAUACAAAAGGCAUAAUAUAAAAAAAAAAAAAUCAUUGUUGCAUAACCUCAUUUGUCUGCUUAGCAAAAAAAAAAAAAACCACCUUUAUAAUGCAUUAAUAUCUUGUUUCAUUACAAUACACAAUAGAUGCCUAAAGACUAGCUACCACAGCACAUUCAUGCUCCCUAUUGUGACUUUCAAAUCCUAAUAACACCAUUUAGAUGAGUCAAGACUGAGAACUGGAGACUUUUCUGCAAUGAUAACUUUAGAAUAAUCUAAGUAUGGCACAUUUAUGCGGUCAAAAAAUGUUUUCAAGCAUCAAAACAAUUUCAAAUGAGUGUGACGGAUUGUGACUAUCUGACCUUUGCAGUAUGCACCAGAAUAAUCUUUGAUUUAUUUUAGGGGGUAACCAACCACAGCUCACUAUGGUGAACUCCAGUGUUUUGAGAGGUGUUAAUAAGGCAUGUCUUUGGGCUCGCCCCAGGCCAGGGCGCAUGUGAACCGCCCUGGGGCAGUGGAAGGAGGCAGAUGAGCUGUUGGGCAUACGCCCCAACUGAUGGGGCAAAGGCCUUAGUGUGCUGGGUGCCUUUUUUGUGCCUCCAAAGAAGAAGGGGUAUGCCUUUUGAUAUUGUUCUGUAGUUCCUGUAAUUCUUUUUUCUUUUUUAACUUUUAAACCAAUUAAGGGAUAAAUAUACAUAUUCCUCGUACGGCACACAACAGAUUACAGAGAGCCUUGUCUGGUUUGAUCUCUAAAUUUUAAUCCCCUCCAACAAUCCCUAAUUCCUCUUCAUUCACUGCUCGAUCCCUCUUGAAUAUAUUUUCAUCAAGUCAACCAAAGCCUCUUCACCCCAAAUUUGCAGCACAGCCCCUUUAUCACCACCACUGCUCGUCUUCUACUACUUCACAACCCGGGGACAAAAUGAAGAAAGUCUAUAUUGCUUUUUUGCUCUCUUUUAAUCUUCUGAAUGAAAGUUUCUACUUCGCUUUUUUUUUGGGCAAAACUUGGAUGACUAAAGGUAUUACUGCUCUUAAUGAAUUGUGGGCCAAUUGGUUAUGCAGUGUCAACUGUAAAGAGAGAAUUAAAAAGCUUCAAAUCAGCUGCUUAUAUGGUGCUGAAUUAUAAUCCACUAUUGUUUGUGUAUUUUAACUUUUUUGUUUAAUAUUCAUUUACUCCUUUGGAAGACAUUGUUUGGACUUACAUAUCAUUUAUUUGUAUUAUUUGUAGAAAUUUUAAUAAUAUUUUUUGGGUAGUUUUCAUAUUUUUCUAAUAUUAAAAAAUCAAAAUUUGUGGGGCUUACACCUCACACCUCAAGGCUUUUGCCUUGUCUGAGUGGGGACAAUACACCUAGCCCAACACUGUCGCCUUUUAAAACACUGGUAAACUCAACCCACCAGAAAAAUUGGAAGUCCAAACUAAGGGGGAGCUAAUUCAGAGAACCUAUGACUAUGAGCCAUAAACAUCAGCUCAACAAUCUUGAAACCAUUCACCAGUCAGAGUGCUACAAAACUAAUAAGAAGAAGCAUUCUACUUUCAAAGAUCUAAGACCAUACUUAUUACUGGGAAAUCAGAUGACUCGUGAACAAAAUUUAGUUUAGACGACUUAAAAUUGUAGGUGCAAACUAGAGGUGUCAAAAUGGGUGAUUUGGACAGGUUUGGAUUGGGUAAAAUGGGUAAUGGGUAUAAGUGAGUCAACCCAUUUAUACCCAUCUAAUUAAAUGGGUAUAAAUGGAUAAGUCAAAAAAUGAAUUGGGUAACCUAAUUAUCCAUUUAUAACCCAUUUAUUUUAACUUUUUGUAAAUUCAUUUUUGCAAACUAAGUUAUCAAUUUAUACCAUUCUUUGCACCCGUCAUUGGUUUUAAAUAUUUAUUUAUAAUGCUCAAUAAACCUAAUAUCAAUUUUUUUCCCAUAUGUACUCUAUGUUGCAAAAUUACAUACUAUUUAACAAUUAAACAAUAAGAAUAUAAAAAUUUGAACUAAGUACUAUAAAAGUUAACAUAAAAACUUAAUCCAAAAAUUUUGAACCUCUAGCAUUUUUUCGUAUGUAAAUUUAAAAUUUCAUUUUAAAAUAAGAAAAGAGGCUAAAACUUGUCAUAAAUUGAUAAUGGUGAAAAAUGAGCAAGUUAAUGGGUGGGGAAAGAGAGGAGGUUUGGGGGAAGACAAUUCUAAAUGGGUUAAUUGCGUUUGAUGGGUUACCCAAUAAUACCCAUUUAUUAAAUGAGUAUUAUUGGGUAACCCAAUAAUACCCAUUUAUUGGGUAACCCAUUUAUACCCAUAUGCAAAAAUUUAACAUACCCAUACCCAUUUAUUCAUGGGCGGGUAUGGGUAAACUUAGUUAAAUGGGUUUGUUUGACAGCUAUAGCGCAAACCACCGAGAGUUUAAGAAGUUAUUUCUGAAAUAAAUAUGUAUGUGGUAAAUUCAAGCCUAAUUUCACAAAUAAGUGUGAAAUCAUAUAGAGGAGUUGAGAGGUUGUAAAAUCCUCUUUACUUAAUUGCUAUCUUUUGGCUGAUGCCGUGGUGCAGUCAAGAAGGGGAAAAGUUUUCCAUUUCAAAUACCUUAGCUCCUGGUGUUCCAGGUUUAGUUGUGGUUGUACUGCCAAACGCGUUACUGGGCUUGGCUGAUGUUGUACUCCCAAAAUUGAAUCUUGAUUUCUUUUCCGCAGGUUUUAGUAUUUGAAAGGAGCACAUGAGAGUCUCAUCUACACUCAUCAUGGCACCUGCAUUGUCAAACUCUCCACAGUAAUUAGGGGCUGAAAAAAUGGUUACAAGCUGCCGGUUUGCAAAGAACUCAUAACCAUCUUCUACAACCUGCAAAUGUUUUGAGAAAAGAAGAAAAGAUCACCAAUUUAGUCCUCCGACACGUGUCAGCCAAAUAAUGUCAAAGUUAUCCAUUAUGUGCCCUUGCUGAGACAAUGUUAGGCUUCAUUGGGCUCAAAUGCUACAUAUUUUCUCAUACUGCUUAAAUAGAAUGGCAAAGAUGCACACAACUAACAAGUUACAACUAUCGAGAGUGGGCAAUACAACAAGGAAAUCCUAUGUUUCCAUCACAAAACAGACAACAAAUUCCAGAUGCUUUUACAAGAAAAUGAGGUCAUAGCCUUCAAUAAUGGCCAAAUUGAAGUACAAAUGUGGUAAGGUGGCAUUCGAAGAGAACACAAAGAAGAAAGAAAAUGUCUAGUUUGUACUCAGAUUAUAAACCAUGGCAAAGUUUCCAUCUUCAAUGUAGCAAUGGCGUGUCACACAUGUAUAUUAUUCUGAACAUUUUCAUAAAUAUCAUACAUAAUGAAAUCACUUUUUGCAAUUCUUUUAAACUGUUUACUGGCUUCCAUUUUGUUGGGGGGGGGGGGGGGGGGGGGGGGGGAAGGUGGGGAAUAUAUGAAUGUGAAUAGUAUAAAGGAAAGUAUUAGUCAGAUUAACUUCAAAAUCAUUUUCUGUUUCAAUAUAUAAUGCUUAUGGGGCUAUUGAACCAGCUCAUGAGAGAUGAACUGCAUUGCCUCCAGUCUCUACCUUCUCAAACACUAGCUUAGAUAUGCUAAAAACAAACAAAGCAUGAAAAUUAGCUUCUGUAGAAAUCACAUGCUCUCCAAGCAAGAAAUGGAAACAAACACAAAGUUAUAAGUGCUACUGUCCAAGGGAGAUUAACAGAGAAAAAAGGUAUAUAUGUGAAUUCCAAUAAAUCAGCAUAACAGUUCAAACCUGGUGAGCACGGCAAACAAGAUCUAAAUCUUGCUUUUCCAAAAACUCUGUCACCUUAUCAGCGCCAAAAGUGUAUGAAACUCCCCGGUCAUUCAUCCCCCAUCCUUGAACAUCAUUACUGGGAUCUGACCAGAGAAGAUCGCAUAGCAAGCCUGCAUCUGGUACAUCAGUUGGUCGUUGCAAGUUCCUUAUCUGAUCCAAAUUUUGAAGAUCAGGAGAAAGGCCUCCAUGCAUGCAGAGAAUCUUCUCAUCAAUCAGGGCUGCCACUGGUAGACAGUUAAAACAUUCUGAGAAAACCCUCCAUAUUUUAACAUUAAAUCUUCUUUUGCAUUCAUCAUAAAACCCAUAUAUACGGUUUAUAGAAGCACACUCGUGGUUUCCUCUUAACAAGAAAAAGUUUUCUGGAUAUUUUAUCUUGUAAGCAAGUAGCAGGCAUAUCGUCUCCAGACUUUGCUUGCCACGAUCUACAUAAUCACCCAAAAACAAGUAAUUUGCUUCCGGAGGCAAGCCACCAUAUUCAAAAAGCCUCAAGAGAUCAGAAUAUUGACCAUGAAUAUCACCUAAAUGCCAACAAGAAAAUCAGAAUCAGAAAGAUAUUCCUCAAGAAAAAACCAGGUCCAAUAUAUCACACGGAUAUCAGUGGCAAACUAUACUUGCAUUGCAAGUCAUAGAAUUCUCAUCCUACAUCAAAUUUAAACUUAGCAAUCAUAGCCACAUCAGUAUAUCUCUGGGGCAUAGGAAGAUCAUAGCCAUAAUGGAUGAGCACCAGACAACAAGCUAAGGAAAUAAAAGCAAAUUUUACCAAGCAUAUACAGCAAAGUAGUAGUUAGUUACACUCAUAAUGUCACAUUCCCUUCUUCCUAUGCGCUAACAGUUGCUACUUGCCUUGCAAAGCUAUGCAAACAAAGGAAACAUGAACAAGUUCAUUUCUAUGUCUCAAUCCACAAUAACUGGUCUUCAAUGAAAGUGUAAUACGAUGAUGAUAAACAAAAGAAAAGAUUAUCCCAAAUUUGUUAAAACCACAAAAUUGUAACUCUAAGGCUUGAAAACAAGUGUUGAUGCUUCCACACGAAAACUUAACAACUAUAUGCAGCAUAUCUAAUUUGAGAUCUGAGAACUUGGUACAGCCAAACAUACUUGACCCAGGGAGAUGGAUUCAUGUUGUUCUGACAUGCAUAUCCAAUUGACACAGAGACACUAAUUAAUGUCUCAAGGACUGCUUAUUGUCAGAAUUUAAUGCUAAUAACUCUAAAUAUACAAACACUGUGAGGGCUGUUUGUAGCAAUGGGCAUGGGGACAAAGCAGAAAAUAUGCUGCAUAGUGAACUAAUAAGAUUUAUAGCAUUUUAUAUUUGCACAUUUUGAUGGUAAUCUCAUAUAUUUUUAACAGUAAAUCCUUUAUAAAGUCUACCGCAGCCAUAAAACAGUAGUAUGUACUUCUUAAUUCAUUUAACAAUGCCAACAAUGUGCCCAUAAGACAAGGAGCGGCAGCUUCUUGGCCUUCAGGAAAGUCCAUGCAAGUAUGUUGGUGUCACCUACAACUUAUGAUAAUUCCCAUUGACCGAGUAGUGAGCAAGGUGAACUUGGCUUCAGCUUACCCCAAUAAAAUUUUCAAGACAGAACUCAUGCUGAUAUAUAUCAAACCAAUUUGCGUGGGCACAAAAAUGUAGCAAAUAAAAGGUUCCUUUCCUGAUGCAAGAAUGGCCAGGUGAUUCCUAAAGAUUUGAGGUGCCAUGGAAAAAAAUUGAACACUUUGCACUCUAACUUGGCUUCAUCACAUCACUUCAACACAUAAUCUUAUACAAAUUUUGAAUCCUGAUGCAAGAAAUAACAUAAAUUCCUCUUCUUGCUCAUAAGAUGGAUGGCAAAUUAUUUACUUUGCACUCAAGGCAAUGUAUCAAGCUCCACUUCACCAGACGCUCAUACAGCACGCAAAGAAAAGUUAAAAGUUCUCAAAACCAGUAAACAAGGAUGCACCCUCCCUGUCAGUAACUAGCUAGAGCAUAAGCAGCACCGCAAAAAUUUUAACAGUAAAGUACAAUAACUAGCAUCACCAAGUCCCACACUGCAUCCAUGUUUCUUAAUCUUUUCCGGUUAAUUGGUUAUAAAGAUCCAAGACAAACAGAACAGACAUGAAAUGCAAGGAACAACAACCCAAAUUUGUCACAAAGCUAAACGCAAAAAAACAAAUUUAUCCUCCCAAUCCCCCCCCCCCCAACAACUUCCCUCCACCAAAAAAAAAAAAAAACUGAACAACCCUAACCUAAAUUCUUCAACCAGAAGAUAGAAUUCGGGAUACCUUUGAAGGAUUUUAUAACAAACACCUUAUUCAUGGCCCAGAAAGUCAACCCAACAGACAUGAAAAAAUGCAAAUGAAAGACAAAGAAGCAAGUCAAAUACAAAGUGGGAUGCAAUCAAAAUAAUCGAAAGGGUCCAUAAAAGAGGAUAACCAAACCAGAGAAAGUGAAAGAGGGAAAAAAGGAAUUGAUACCACAAAUCUUAAUGGGUGCUUCAAGCUCUAAAAGAUUAGGCUGUUGCAAGAAAAUAUCUUUGGAAACCAGACACAACUGUUUGAUCUCGGCCUCAGAGAGCUGCACCUGCUUCCCUGGCCUUCCUCUGACUUCCAGCAGCCUCCUUAUUAUAUCAUCUAAUAGCUUUUCAUCCAUUUUUUCUUUCAACAAAUUCUCAACCUUCUUUGUUCUCUCUUUCAAUUUUCUCUAUAUUUACAUGAAAGCUGUUCUUAUUUUAGUGGUGGGGGAGUGAAGAAAGAAUCUGGAAAGUGGGUUGUUGAUGAUGGGUUUUGAGGUCUGUUUGCGAAUAUUGGAUUACGGAGGAGUGAGGGAAACCAAUUAAGGUGAUUUAACUGAUUUGUGGGUCGCGUUGGACUCCAGUGAAAGAGAGGAUGUUUCUGGGUUGUCGUUUUGUGUUGGUAGGAUCUGUCGUUUUGGUGAAAUUUUCGAAAUACAUAUUCUUUGCUUUUUGAAGUAGAUUUUCAAUGCUCAGAGUUUAGAAAGUUUCCUCGGAAACGGUUGGGCGACAGGAAUCUAGAAAGGAAGAGCGAAUUCUGGAAGGAACAAAUAUCUGAUGAGUCGUUCCGGUUUAUCAAUGGGCUAUAACCGAAGAGGCCCAUAGGCUAAGGUGCACUGGGCUGCUGUAUAACUUUCGAUCUUGUGUUGUGGGUUGGGAGUCCGUAGGACACUUGCGAAAUCCUAAAUCAAAUGGUUCAUUCCAAUUAUGUCUCCAAAGUCCCGUACAUUUAAAAUCCAAUUCAGCAUUUAAAUUUAAUGAAUAAAAAUCUUAAUAUGUUCAAAUGUGUUUGAUAAUUAAAAAUUAAAAAUUAAAAAUAAUUAAAUGACACUGAAUUUUCUAGUCAAAAGUUGCUUAAAAAAUAAGUGAUAAGUUAUUCACUUAUCAUUGAAUGUGGUAUACACUCAAAUGUAUAAUCCAAUUCAACAUUUAAAUUUAAUGAACUCAGAUCUUAAUAUGUUCAAACGUGUUUGAUAAUUAAAAAUUGAACAUCUAAAUUAAUUAAAUGACACUGAACUUUUUAGUCAAAAGUUGCUAUAAAAAAUAAGCUUAUCACUGAAUGUGAUAUACACUCAAAUGUAUUUGAUUUAAUACUUAAUAAUUCAAUAACUUAAUGGAUUCAGACUUCAGAUUUCAAUUUAAUCAAACGCACCCUAACUAAAUGAUCCUGAAAUUUGAUAUCGCUCAUCGCUCUAUUGUUCUUGUUCUGAAAUCUCUCAUGAAUUAAAAAGUUAAUAUUAAUCAAUAAUCAUGAUAAAUAUAUUAACUUAAUCAUCAUCAUCAUCAUCAUGAGGUCUUGAUUUACCAUCAAAAUCUUUCCUUUCUCGAUAUUCCGUGUAAGUCUUAGAGUAAAGUAUCCCUGGACAAAAAUGAUUUGUUUUAUAUAAAGCUUAGAGUCUCUCUUCAACUUGUUUAUCACAAAGAAAAUAAUUGACAUCUACCGUCAAAGAUUUAUAUGCUUUUUGCGUCAAAUUGUGUUUAGCAUGGAUUGGCAGAUUUCUGGAAACGCGUGAGUCCAUGUUGCAAUGGGUACUAAGUAAAUAUUAAACUCGGGUGUACAAAAAAGUAUAAAAAUUCUAAUAAAUUUUAACGUGUUAUCCAAUGAAAUCACACAACACGUUCCCUCAAUCUGGCCUUCAUCCAAUGGAGAUCCAUAAUAAUUAGACACCUAACAGUUUUUCAAUUAAAUUCGAUCAUGAUUGAGUCAGAUUAAUACCAACCUAUUCCGUUCUAGGUAAGAUGGUAUAACUGCAAAUGUGUUUUGGUUCUACUGUUUAGUUUAAAAACUUUGACUCUUGUGCUGCUGUAGUACUAUACUUUUAGAAGGAACGGAACCACAGUUGAGUUAGCCCAAGCGUGAGCUUACGCAUUUUCUAUUUGGUUGAAAAAUAAGAGAGAGAGAGAGAGAGAGACUCUGACUUUGACGUCGACUCUGAGUAAACCAGUUGUAGUGUGCCAAAAAAAAGCUUGAAAACAUACGGUAUAUUCUUUCCUUCUUCUCCAACAGCCAGCAGCCGUGGCUGGUAACUAGUGGAGGAAAAACUACCGUCCGCAUUGGAAAAGUUUCUGCCUGCGAUGAAAGCAGUUUAUUGCCACUUGAUCAGUUUCUUGUUGAUUCAAGAAAUACUGUUGCUGCUUCAACUCCGGUAUGUAGCUAAUGGCAUGGAAGCAAGACGAGCGCCCUUCUCUCCCUUGGCUUAUGCUUCGUAUGGCCGUCUGUCUCAUGGCGGAUUAAAGGUGGAUCAGGAAGAACCAGUUAGGAUAUUGAGAGUUCUUCCCAGACCGCCACCUCCAAAGCUCAAUGUCCCUUCUCACUGGGGCGUCGCACCAAGCAGUCUUUCUCCACCACCGCCAACACCGUCAUUGCAACCAGCUGCAGCGCCAGGCCCACCACCACCGUCGUGAAUUCGUCAUACCAUAACGUUUGGCCCGCUUGGCAAAUUCAUCAGAUCAUGUUUGUGUCCAUGUCUUAGCUGGAAUCCAAAUUUAAUCACCUUGUAUUAAAUGAUCCUCUCGUUUUAUAUAUAUAUAUAUUUUAAUGAGCUUCUAAUUUGUGUUAUUGCUCUUUCCGUUUCUGUGGAUUUUGGACUUUCCCUCAUCAAUGUCCACAUGUUAUUCCUCAUAGAAAAAAUUUGGGCCAAGAAUCAGGAUCUGUGUGCUGUUACAUCAUUUCUGACUAGCUAAACAAAAAUAAGCGGAAUGGUAAUGGCAGUUAGUAUAACAUACAAAGGACAUAUAUAUAUAUACGUGCAAAUUUAUGCGAUAGAGUAACACAGUAACACGACACACCAGUUGACGAUUGUUGGUUAGCUCCACUUGCCCGGAGUAGUUGUUCAAAUAUUUAUUAAUAAUCCACUUGCCCCGCGUAGCUCUCAUCUCAGCUUUCAUGUACGCAGGCUCUACCAAAUUUUCCGUCCCUGUUCUUAAAUACCACUCUUCUCUUACCAAAAAGAAUUCGAAUGCAUGCAUGUGGGCGCCAUAUCAUUUAUUGAUCACGAAUAACUUGACACAGUGUCAAAUAGUAGUAGUAACUAAUUGACAUCACGUCCUUCUACUUGGCUUGCGGAUGCAGCACUAAAUUUCUUGCAUAUAAACUUGAUUAAAAUUGGAAGGGAGGGUUGAGAUCAAGCGUCAAAUGGUAACAAUUGCUCUACUCGUGAAAGAGAAAAUGAAUGCAGAUGAGUACUAGAUCUCGUAAAUUCAGUCCAACCUCCAUCAUUUAGGCAUUUACUGCUACAUACAGAAUAGUAGUUUCUUUUUUGUCCCCUGACCAUCUGCACUCGAGCAUGCAUUUAUCCACAGGGCGACCAGUCCAAUGCGGUUCCGAAUUCCCAAUCUUUUCUCCUAGCUAAAAUGGUGAACCCUGUCUGGCUCUGAACCGCAAGCUCGCAUUGCAAAUGAGACGGAAAACUUGUAUCCAAAAGGUUCGAGCUAUGAAAGCAAUUUAUUCGUCCUUGCUUGUUUUGCUGUUGAUCCCUUGUCUGAUGUUGCUUCAACAACUUGGGCAUAAGGCCUCUUUUGCCAUGGCAACAAGACACCAAGCCUUAUCAGCUUUGACUUCUCCUACGGGUGCAGCAGCUUCUUCCCAUCGUGCCCAUCUGUCCUACGAAUUGCAGGCAGUGCCAAAGAGGAUAAUGAGAGGGCUUCACAGGCCCCGGACCCGGCCCCCACCUCCAAAUAUCAAUCACCCUACUCAUUUUCGCCGUUCCAUGCCAUAUCCACCUCUAGAACCACCACCACCAUCAUUUGCACCACCGCCACCACCUCCAGGUCCAGGCUGUCCAGCUACGGGAUGAUGAAUAAUGUGUGGGAUGCUUGUAUAAUUGUGUCUGGUAAGAAAUGUACAUGCGUGUUUGAACUUUGAAAAGAUGUACUACUACUAUCAGAGAUUUUAAAUUUUAGACUACCUAUUCAGAUUCUUUGUCAUCUUCUAGUAUUUCCAUUGUCGUGAAUUUUCCUUUUAUUCUGGGAAGGAUUUUCAAAUUCAUAAAUAUUCAAAUCUGUUGUCGCCUGUAAGUUGUGUCCACUCAUCGACCGCCGUUAGUCAACCGUGAUUUACCACCAUUAGGUUCACUUUCAUAAGAUCUUUCUAUUUCCAGCCAAUUCAUGCUGGGAUAUUAAUCAGUAGUAGGAGUAAAAUUUUGCUUUUAACCUUGACUUUUACAUAGGUGGAGGGAGAUUUUAUCUUAGGAGGGGUGGAAGGCCAUUUUACCCUUUUCAGACACCCAAAGAAAAAUGGUACUUUAAUGGAAAAAUGGUACAUUAGGUUCACUUUCAUAUUGAUCAUAUAUAUAAUUGUGUUUGGAUUGCAUUUUCCGUGAUUUUUUAUGGAAAAAUUACUGUAGCGAUUUGAUGUAUGUGAGGGAAAAAGGUAAUAGGAAAAUGUGAUCACGGAAAACGACGUAAUUUUUCGACGGAAACCGGCAAUCCAAACAAGGCAGCACCCACUUUCUUUAUUAUUCCGUAAUUUUGAUGAAAUGUGAGAAACUGAUCCGAUCCCACGAGAGAGUACGUGAGAUUUAGUUCUUCAAUUUUACAUGAAAAGUUAAAAAUAGAGAAUUAACUAAGUUCUCGUGCACUCUCUACUGUUAGUCUGACUGGUUUCAUAGUCUGAUAGUUAUAAGCAGGUCUCGUGAUUAAUUUUUAUAUACAGCUUCAUUAUAUAUCUCUGGCAUAAGAUUUUACACAAUUUUAAAAAAUUAGUCUGAUAAAAAGGCGGAGAUGCCUUGAGUGAAAAAAAAAAAACUAAGCUCACAUACUGUGAACAUUCUUUAGCCUUUUACGUGUCACAUUGUUGAGACUUGAAACGAGAAUAGAUUUGAGAUUCAUAUGCAUAUGGAUUGGCUGGAGGUCCAAUCCGAUGUUGACCUUAGUGCCACAUCUGUUCCUAUCAAAAUUGGCGUAGCUGAAUUUGACGUCGAGGUAAAGGCUCUUAAUCUCUAUGUUUUCAGAACCAGACCGGAUAUCGCCUCGGUCAAAUUCAGGGGUCAGAGGUCAGUGGAUUCAAUCGGAUUCGAUAGGGGUUGAACCGGAUGACGUCAUAAAUAAAAUUAUUUAAAAAUUAAAAUAUUAUAUGUAAAAUACCUAAUAACAUGUAAAUAUUAAUAAAUGUAUAUUCAUAUAUAUUUGAUUGUUUAAAUAUAUUUAACAAGAAAAUACAAAGAAAUUAGAACAAUCAAAUAACAAUUUAUAUUAUUUAAUGAGCAUUAACAAGUUUAGAAUUAAAAUUAUGGAUUUAAUUGAAAAAUAAUACCAAACUUUAAGAAAAUAUUGAUAAAGUAUGAAAUAUUUGAGGUAUAUUAAUAAUUUUUAACAAUCUAGGAGUCAAAACAUAAUAUUGAAAAAUUUUGAGUUUUUCUUUAAAUGUUGUUUGAACCGAAAAAUCCGGUUUUUUUCGGUUAAACCCAGUCAAACCCGAUUUUUGACCGAAUUUUUACUUACCCGAUUUUUAAGCAUGAUUCGGACCGAAUACUUGACCGAUUUUCGAUUCAACCGAUCGAACUGACUGGUCAGGCCGAAUUUUAAAACACAGCUUAAUCUUACCACCUGUCCACCACCACCAACCCACCAUUAAAUCAGCAGACUGUAAUUUUUUUUUGUUUGCUAAUAGUUCCACUGUAUAAAAUGCUAUAGGACUCAGGAUAGCUAUCUAAUUAGAAGUUAGAAGAACAGGUUCAAAAAUGAAGAUCACACUUGUGUCUUCGAUAACUUUCCUUCCUUUUGAUCUAUGAACUGGCUAUGCUACAGGGCUCCCCCGUGGCCGCGGUGUCUAUAAGAGAUCCACCUCCGCCGCCAUCAAACCCCAAAGCCCGGUAAUCCUAGUCGUCCUUUUAUACCUGCUCAUCACUCGCAGGCACCGCCGCCACCACAUUUUUCUUAGUUACUUAGAGUUAUGUGUGUGAAAAUAUUAUUCAUUUUUUUAUGAAUGCCUUUGUCAUACUAUCAUUGGUGGCUUCACAAUUGUACUUCACAAAAUGUAAAUGAAUUAAACAAUAUUUUGUUUGGAGUUUGGACCAUUAAGGUAUUAACCAUCCCCGCAAAUGGUCCAGAACACGUACAGCAUGCGAAUUUAGUGUUGCACCUGUAGAAGUAUGAACCCAUUAAUUGGUUAGUUAAUUGGAUGUUGACGCUGGGGAAAAAAAAUAGAGUGAUUCUUGGCCUUCCUACAGCCUUCUUCAAGACUCCCAACCAACCAAAAAUCAUAAGCUAAAAUCUUGGUUGACAAGCUUGAUCAUGAAGUGAAUCCUUGAUCUUUUCCUUCUUGAAAUAUUGUUCAACUUGCUGUUUUCGGACAGGUUCAAGAUGAAGACAGCUGAUACUAGUAUGUCUCAUGAUCAUGUACGACGUGGCAGGCUUAGACAGUGGAUACACAGGCAUUGCUUCUGCAAUUGCCGGGGCAAUAUUACCUCCUCAAGUAGGUGUUUCGGCUAUGCCUAGUAGAGCUCCAUCACCACCCCCCAAGAGCCGUGAUCCUACUCAUCCUUUCAUAUCUUCUAAUUGCCCACCACCGGUACUACCACCUUGCUAGUUGCCAGAGCUUUGAGCUAUCUAUCUUGAAAUCUCAACCUUCACAUCUGCCAUAUCAAAUUCUCGACCUUUCAGUUUCACUACCUAAUUACCAUUUGUCGUCUUCUUCUACAUGUCAAAGUCUGAGCAGUUGUAACAUUACCAUUAUCUCUACUUUUUUUUUUCUAACAUUUUCUUACGAAAGUAAGAAGUCGUUAACUAAGCGGAGUCCUUGAACAAUCUUCAAAAGCCGGCAACUCUUGAAGACGUCCAAGGCACUUAACUACCCAACCCAUUACCCCCCAGUACCGAUGUGGGAUAGAAACCCCGACAAGGGCAAGCCCAGUAGGGCAGCAUUGAACACUAAAGAGCACCCUUACCAACCCCAGAAGACGCCCCAUAAAGAGUUUCUUUCUAACAUUUUCUUACGAAAGUAAGAAGUCGUUAACUAAGCGGAGUCCUUGUCAUUAUCUCUAUUUAGUACUUGCAUUAUGUGUUGAAUGCGUCAGAGUUUCCUAGCGGCUUCCCACCUACCAUGUCAGACGAAUUAGAAUAGUAUUUAUCAAUGCUAACCGCUUUACUGGUCUGGCAACCAACCGACAUAUGAUACGAGGCAACGCUUUCUUCUUCGGACUCACAGAACUAGGAUUGAUAUCCUUUUCCUGAUCAUUAGUAGCUUUUUCGCUUCAAUAUUCAAGGGUGUGUUUUCUCCACCCAUGAGAAAAGUUCAUCAUUAUUUGCUUAGCUUGCUUUUGAUCCAUGAAAUCCUGCUGAUUCAACAGGGAUGUGUGAACAAAGCCUAUGUCGCCUUGGCAGCAGCGAGAGUUUUAGAAGAACCCUUCUCAGCUUUGGCUUUUGAUGCACCGCCUUCUUUUUCCCACGAUGCUCUGUCUCACUAUGAUUUCAGGGCAGCACUGCGAGGGCGAACUAGGAGACCUAGGCUUUCUCCACCAUCUCCAGUUAUCAAUACCCCUAUUCAUUUCAAGAGUCCACCACCUCCAUCUCAUCCACCGCCGUCGCCGCCACUAGCACCGGCACCGCCGCCACCAUGUUAAAUUGUUUAUGUAUGUUUGGAACAGUCAGAAAUAUAUAUUUAUGUAUCCAGAAGUGCACCCAUGUAUUGCUUCAAACAAAAUCAUCGGGCUCUUAUUAGUGCUUUGAUCUCCCCGUGUCUUUCUUAAUUUCCAAUAAAAAGUGAAACACUGGCUCCUAGUGUUAAUAAUUAUCACUUCAAUCUGUGUAUCGUUGCAGUAUUUACAUUAGUUAAUUGUAUGAUAUUCCUUUUUUCAAGUUUUGUGGUGGAUUCUGCCCUUUCAUUUCUGAGGAAAAAUUGCGUGACAUAUUCCUGUUUAUGUAUUUUAUUUUUUUAUUCCCUUUUCCUCCUCAUUGAAGUGAUUUUUGUUUUAUUUUUCCCUUAGACUAAUGGACUAGGCCUUGUUACUAGUAUUCUAAAGGGAUUUCGUCAAAUAAUUGAAAAAAGGCUUAUUGAUGAAAAGUCAAAAACUCAAAAGCAUACAUUAACAUUUAAUUACAUUUAAGAUUUUGAUAGUAAUCUCGCAAAUGGGCUGAUAUGGGGACAUUGGGUCUUUUUUUCGUUCAUGGUGUGGGUGGACCGAGGGGAUGCAAAGUGAUGUACCAUCUCCACAGUAUUCAAUUUCCAUUUUGAUACCCUAUUUGAUCAAAUGAGCACAUCUAAAACUUUAACACAUGCCAGUGUCCACUAGAACACCGGAAAAUGAAAUUAAAAGAUUUUGUAACUUGAAAAUGUAGUAAUAACUCGGCAUGAACAAACCCAAUACCUCGUCGACCAAAGAAUUAAUGGGAGCCAAAAAAAAAAAAAGGAUAUUGACAAUUAGAUGCUAUACCACCCAUAAAAGCCGGCAAUAACUAUAAUUUAGUUCCAUUGGUUAUAUAUCUAUGCAAAUUGAUAAAAAGAUGACCUGCGAAAUAUCUUGAGUGGAUCUUCCUCCCACCUGGAAACAAUUUGGGUCCAUCUGAUUCUUUUUUUUUCUUUUUUUCUGACACAGGGGUAUUCGGGCCUUUGGCCGACUAGUCCCCGCGAUCCGAGAGGAGAGGCCCAUUCCCUUCGAACGCGUUACUUCCGGGACUCGAAUCGUGGUCGCCAUAUCCUAAAGAGAAGCAACGAAACCACUCGAGCUACCUUGGGUUGGGCGGGUCCAUCUGAUUCCACCCCCCUUCCCACAUUUUCUUACUUUCUAACCUAUGUGGAUCUUUAGAUUGGAACUAUACGUGAUUUUUAGCAUACAAUUCAAUUUUAGAUAAUAUUUGAAUUCAAAGAAGCAAGCGUUUACUGUUACAGGUAGGUAUAUAUCCUUGCACUUUACCUCUUAUGCUCACUAAUUUAGUCCUGCACCUGCUAAAACUUUUUACUUGUGCAACGAUUCUUAAUAUACAUUAAUUGUCAUCUGAUAAAAGAAGGGGUGGGGAGAAUCAUAGAUGAAAGUGCCUUAACUAGCAUGCCAGAUGCUAUAGCCAACCCAUUGCCGGUGACGCUCAAGUCUCAAGUCUUAACUGUUAAACCACAAUGUAUUUUCUCAUACAGCCAAUGCGGGAUGCUCUGUCAAGUGUCAAUAGUUUCCCUAGUCCAUCGAUGGAAGGAAAGCGUACAAUCGCUCCAUUGAAUAUUCAUGAAGGAAGACACGAUUCAACGAAGCCCUCCAAUAUUGGUUUUUAGUCUUGCAUUCAUAGCUCUCCAAUUUUGUUUCAGAGUGAACAUCGAGUCUAAUGGAUCAACUAGAAGGAACAAAUUAAGAUGCAGCAGAAGCAAGAAUUCUUAAAUCAAAACUUUCAAAAAUAGAAGCGGUCAUGUUUCAACCCUGCAAAAUAAAUUAGAAUAGAAAGGGCUAAAAGGAACCAUCAAUCUUAAGUAUUUGAAGUAAACUGCAAUCUGGAGAGUCUUUUAAAAGUACUUCUUUUAAUGAAACGUUAAGUCUUUUUUUUUUUUUCCUUUUUUUUAAGAGAAGAGUAAAUUUGAAAGAGUCUUUUGAUGCGCAAUUUUCCUUUGCAACGACGUUGAAUUUUACUGGCUUAACAUAUUGAUAUUCAAACUUAGAAAUUUAUGUGUAGGGGAGGCAUUUAUCAGUUAACUAUGUAGGAUGCCACUCAGAUUGUGCCUAGGAGUUGUGAAUUUUCGUUAUUUUAAUAGCAGGGGAGAGGUUGGAUUUAAGAAAUUAGGAGGGGAUAGAAAUUGUGAUCUAAGUUAAGAUUUUACUUUUUUGAUCUCAUCUCAAUUUCAAGAAGUUAUUGUCUUCUUUUUUGUAAAAGAAAAUAUCCUUUUGAGGAAAAGUACACAUGAACAAGGAACUUUGGGUUAUAAUUACGUCCUCAUCUCUUCAAUUGCUCCAAGGAGAGCAAGGUUUAUGUAGGCUGAAGAAUAAUUUCCACAUUUUAUACAAAUUGAUCAAGAAUCAUCCUACCAUCAUUUUAUUAAUUGUGAUCAACCUCAUGUUAGAACACUCCUUUUGACAGAUUCUUCACUGCUUUAAAUGAGGUCAUAUGUGUGGAUCACUUCCCAUUUGACCAAUGAAAACUAAACAGACCAUCCAUUGCAAAAUGCUGACUUCGCAUGGCAAUCUAAAUAGAAGUUUGAACAAGAAGUUUGAACAAGCAAUCUAAAAAUGAAGCUCACAUUUGUGUCUUUGAUCACGUUCCUUUUUUAUUUUUUGAUAUAUGAACAGGGUAUGCUAGAUGGUUACUACUUGGGCAGGGACUCCCCUGCCUUGGAAAUGCUCCCCCGAUGUAUUUCGGUGGCUGCGGUGUCUAUAAGAGAUCCUCUGCUGCUGCCGCCGCCGCCAACCCCAAAGCCCCGUAAUCCUAGUCAUCCUUUUAUAUCUGCUAAACAUUUUUAUGCAUGCAUUUGUCAUCCUAUCACUGGUGGCUUCAAUUGUUCUUUACACGUUUGGUUUUCUCACAAUCACAGGUCAAUUUGAGGUGGUUACCUAUGUAUGAAGUUUAUCACAAACGUACUCACCUAGUACAGUAACAUCCUAGUUAGGUGAUUUGUGGAAUAUUCAUCAUCCUCUCCCUUUGGGUCGAAGCUCGGUGAGUAGGUAGAAGAGUGAGAACUAGACGACGGGGAGGUCACUUCUUGCUUUGGAAUAUCAUUAUCAUUUUCGUGGCUGCUUGUAAUCCAAAUUAAGUCAAUUUGAAUGGUUAGAAUUUAAAACAGAAAUAGAUAGCUUGCGUUAUUGAAGACUUUAUUGAAGAAAAUUGCUCCUCGCUAUGGGAAGAAACAUGUACCCUAAAAUUUCAUAGGAUACUGGGAGACAGUUUUCAAGAUUACAGAGCGUGAUUAUCAUGUCUAAUUAGCACUUCGUCCCAUUUCAUUCCCAAUCAAUUGUUGGAGAGCAAUAGCACAAAGGCAAGCACAGAGUUCAUCUCUUCCAUGUACUACUAUGUUUUUAACAGCUGGACUGGCUAAACUUCAGAUUGCUCAUGACAAUAUCACAAUAAAUGGAACUUACAAAAAUUUUUAUGCUGUUUCCAGAAUGACAAAAAGGUCGGAUGUAAUUUACAAAAUUUUCAGCAACAUGCAUAAUGUGAAUUGAAUUAAACAACAUUUUGGGUUGAAGUUUGGACCAUUAAGGUGUUUAACUAUCCCAGCGUAUCGUCGAAAACACGUAUAGCAUGCAAAUUUAAUGCUGCACCAAUAGAAGUAUGGUCUCAUUAAUUGGAUAUUGACGCUGGUACACAUCUUUGAAAAACAUUAGCGAUUUUUGGCCUUCCUGGAGCCUUCUUCGCGACUUUAACCAACCAAAUAUCAACGGCCAAUAGGCAAAAGCUUGGUUGACGAGCUUCAGUUCAAGAUGAAGACAGCACUGGUGCAUCUGACACUAGUAUGUCUGAUGAUCAUAUAUAUACGAACCGAACUGGCAGGGUUAGAUAAUGGAUACAUAGGCGGUGCUUCUUCUCCAAUUGCAAGGGCAAUAUUCAAAGACUCAGACGAGUCCGUGAGUCGUCACGGUCUCAGGUUUUCCCGAUACGAUAUCGGAACGAUACGAUUUCGAGAUACUUGACUCACCGAGACAUCACCGUGAAGGGUUGAAACGGUCAAAUCACAUCGAAUCACUCCGAAUCAUCUCGAGUCAAUUCGAAUUUUUAUUAUUUUUACUAAUUUUUUAAUUAUUUUUGUUUAUCAUAUUUUUUUACAAUUUUUAGAAUAUUAAAUAUUUCAAACACUCACGUUUACCCGAAAUUGCGACCCAUAUGCCGAGACUGAUGUGCAACGAUUCGAGCAGCGACAGCAACCGAGACUGCGACUUUGAACCAUGGUCAUCACCGGAAUAUGUUGAAUGCGUAAAAUUACCAUCAUCUCUACUUACUUAUGUUGAAUGCGUCAGAGGUUCCUAGCUGCUUCCCACCUACUAUGUUAGACGAAUUAGAAUAUUUAUCAAUCUAACCGCUUACUGGUUUGGGAACCAACCGACAUAUUAUAUGAGGCAACACUUUCUUCUUCUCAAACUCAUAGAACUACGAUCGAUGUCCUUUUCCCGGUGAUUAUUUACUGGCCUUUCCAAUUCAAUACUCAAAAGUUUGUUUUCUCCAUCCAUGAAGAAAGUUUAUCAUUUUCUGCUUAGCUUGCUUUUGAUCCAUGAAAUCUUGUGGAUUCAACAGGGAUGCGUGAACAAAGCCUACGUCGCCUUGGCAGCAGCAAGAGUUUUAGAAGAAUCCUUCUCAGGGUUUCAUGCACCAGCUUCUACUUCUUUUUCCGAUGAUCCUCUGUCUCCCUAUGAUUUCAGGGCAGCACUGCGAACCAGGAGACCUGGGCUUUCGCCACAACCUCCGGUGAUCAAUAACUCUCCUCAUUUUUUCAAGAGUCCACCACCUCGACCACCACUGCCGCCACAAGCACCGCCACCACCACCACCACCAUGUUAAAUUGUUAAUGCAUGUUGGAACAGUCAGAAAUAUAUAUGUAUCCAGUUUCUUUCUCCACCACCUGUUCAGUUGUACUACCAAUUGCUUGGACUAAUGUAAUAGUAGUAUUAGUGUAGCCAUGUACUGCUUCAAAUAAAACCAUCAAGCUUCCAUUACUGCUUUGGUCUCCCCGUGCCUUUCUUAAUUUCCAAUAAAAAUCGAAACACUCACGUCCUCGAGUUAAUUAGCAUUUUAAUCUUAAUUAUUUCCUUGCAGUAUUUGUAUUUGUCAGUUGAUAUUCCUUUUUUCAAGUUUUGUGGCUGAUUUUUCCUUUUCCUUUCCCAGGAAAAAUUGCACGACAUUCCUCAUUAUGGAUUUUGUUCUAUAUUCCUUUUUCCUCCUCAUUAAAGCGACUUCUGUUUUAUUUUUUCCCUUAAACUUAACAGACUAGGCCUUGCUAGUGUUGUAAAAGGAUUUCGUCAAAUAAAAAAAGGAUUAUUGAUGAAAAGUCAAUACUCAAAAGAGCACUUUUACAUUUAAUUAAGAGUACGCUUUUAGUUCCAUUGGUUAAAUAUCCAUGCAAUUUGAUAAAAAAGAUGACCUGUAUAAUAUCUUGAGUGGAAUUGUUCUCCCACCUGAAAACUUGACCCAGUACCUGCACUUCUUGGCCAAUUUAGGUCCAUCCAAUUCCACCCCAUUUUCUUUCUAACCUAUUUGGAUCUUUAGAUUGGAACUGUGUGUGAUGUUUCGAACACAAUCCAUUUUUAGGUAAUAUCCGAAUUCAAAGAAGCAAGCGCAGCUUUAUCAUAUAUUGGUUUUAGGUUUCUUGUUAUACAGUUACUGUCACAGGUAUCAUUGCACUUUACCUCUAAUGCUCAUUGAUUUAAUCCUGCUAAAACAAUGGGUAUGGAAUUGGGAAAUCCUUGCACAUACAAAGUUUCAGCAGGGGAAGGGUUGAAUUCAAAAAACUGAGUGGGAAUUGGAAUUGUAAUCUAAGUUAAGAUAUUACUUUUUGAUCUCGCCUCAAUGAUAAAAAUUUUCAACUGGGGAAGGGUAGUUUUCUUGACAUCUGAAAACAACCGGUAUGGAGAACUGUUAAACCACAAUGUAGUAUUUUCUCAUGCCGCCAAUGCGGGAUGUUCUGUCAAGGAUCAAUAGUUUCCCUAGUCCAUCGAUGAAAGGAAAGCGUACAAUCGCUCCAUUGAAUAUUCAUGAAGGAAGACACGAUUCAACGAAGCCCUCCAAUGGUUCGAGUCUUGCAUUCAUAGCUCUCCAAUUUUGUUUCAGAGUGAACAUCGAGUCUAAUGGAUCAACUAGAAGGAACAAAUUAAGAUGCAGCAGAAGCAAGAAUUCUUAAAUCAAAACUUUCAAAAAUAGAAGCGGUCAUGUUUCAACCCUGCAAAAUAAAUUAGAAUAGAAAGGGCUAAAAGGAACCAUCAGUCUUAAGUAUUUGAAGUAAACUGCAAUCUGGAGAGUCUUUUAAAAGUACUUCUUUUAAUGAAACGUUAAGUCUUUUUUUUUUUUUUCCUUUUUUUUAAGAGAAGAGUAAAUUUGAAAGAGUCUUUUGAUGCGCAAUUUUCCUUUGCAACGACGUUGAAUUUUACUGGCUUAACAUAUUGAUAUUCAAACUUAGAAAUUUAUGUGUAGGGGAGGCAUUUAUCAGUUAACUAUGUAGGAUACCACUCAGAUUGUGCCUAGGAGUUGUGAAUUGCCGUUAUUUUAAUAGCAGGGGAGAGGUUGGAUUUAAGAAAUUAGGAGGGGAUAGAAAUUGUGAUCUAAGUUAAGAUUUUACUUUUUUGAUCUCAUCUCAAUUUCAAGAAGUUAUUUUCUUUUUUGUAAAAGAAAAUAUCCUUUUGAGGAAAAGUACACAUGAACAAGGAACUUUGGGUUAUAAUUACGUCCUCAUCUCUUCAAUUGCUCCAAGGAGAGCAAGGUUUACGUAGGCUGAACAAUAAUUAUACAAAUUGAUCAAGAAUCAUCCUACCAUCAUUUUAUUAAUUGUGAUCAACCUCAUGUUGGAGUUGGCUUUGGAACACUCCUUUUGACAGAUUCUUUACUGGAGGUCAUAUGUGUGGAUCACUUCCCAUUUUACCAAUGAAAACUAAACAGACCAUCCAUUGCCUGUAAAUAUUAAUAAUUAAGAACCCGACCCUGCCGAAUACUGCCUCAAACUAAUGGAGAAUGAGACAUGGCCAAAAUUUUCAGUCAAAGGAACUCAUGACAUCUGGCCAAAGAGUCGUUUGCCAAUUAUGCAAUUACUGUUGUUCAAGGCAAAACGUAGAAUAUAUAACUCCCGAAAGAUUAUUAACAGCAUUAGUUGGAAAAUUCCAUUCCUGUUGCUCAGGGUCUUAGUCGUUUCAUUAAUCAAUAGAUUAUUACUGGAAGUUUGGCGCUUGAAUGUGGCUGCAAAAUGUAAUUUAUGCUUGUAUUAUCUGACCGAAAAAAGAUGACUUUGUUAAGGACGAAGAACUGAUUCUUCAAAAUCACAGGGUCUUUAAAUAACUUUCUCAAGAUAAAUGAAUGAGACCGCAAAAUUUAGCAAUUGAAAAUUUUGAGAUGGAUACCGCUAUCAUGCCUAUAUAUACUCCACCUUUUAACUCAAGCUCCGCAACCAAGUUAAUCACCUCUAACCCCUAUUUAACUCGGUACAUUCUUCCUCUUGCAUAACAGUAGUAAUUGCUCAUUCAAUCGAGCGAACUUACUGUUCACUUUCUAAACCAUCGUCAAACAUGGGAUUCAUGCAGAUUCUCAUUCUGCUUUUUGUAAUCAGUUUUCUUUCGAUAGCUGCUAAAGGAUUGCAUGAUCAGGAAAGCACCGUACAGACUUACAUCGUGCAUGUUGAGUUGCCUACAGAUACUCCGCUUUCCAGUGCAAGUGCAAGCCCAAAUAAUGAUGAUUUAGAAAAUUGGUACAAAUCUUUCCUGCCGACAACCACUAUCUCAAGCUCAUCAAAUGAAGCACCACGGAUGCUUUAUUCCUAUCACAAUGUUUUCAAAGGAUUUGCAGCUAAAUUAUCAGCUGAAGAUGUGAAAGAAAUGGAAAAGAAGCCUGGAUUCUUAUCAGCUAGUCCCCAGGAGAUGCUAUCUCUACAUACGACCCACACUCCUAGUUUCCUGGGGUUGCAUCCGGAUAUGGGCUUCUGGAAGGAUUCAAAUUAUGGAAACGGUGUGAUUAUUGGAGUCAUGGACACCGGAAUAAGGCCAGAUCACCCUUCAUUUAGUGAUGAAGGAAUGCCUCCACCACCUGCUAAAUGGAAGGGAAAGUGUGAAUUUAAUUCCUCAGCUUGCAAUAACAAAUUAAUUGGAGCAAGGAAUUUCAACCAAGAAUUUAGCGAUUCCGUUUUAGAUGAGGUUGGCCACGGUACUCACACAGCAAGCACAGCUGCAGGAAACUUUGUCCAAGGCGCUAAUGUGUUGAGAAAUGCUAAUGGAACUGCUGCCGGUAUCGCACCUCUAGCUCACUUGGCAAUGUACAAAGUAUGCAUAAUUGUUUGCCAAGGUGUUAUAUGCAUAGAUAUUUGCCCUGAAAGUGCCAUAUUGGCUGCUAUGGAUGCGGCUAUCGAUGAUGGGGUGGAUAUUCUUUCCCUGUCUAUUGGAGGAAGUUCGAAACCAUUUUAUACAGACAGCGUCGCACUUGGUGCUUAUACUGCAAUGGAAAAGGGCAUUUUGGUCAGCUGCUCAGCCGGAAAUGGUGGUCCUUCCAAUCAGUCUUUAGAAAAUGAAGCCCCCUGGAUACUUACGGUUGGUGCAAGCACCAUCGACAGAAAAAUAGUAGCUACUGCUUUGCUCGGGAACAAGGAGGAGUUUGAUGGCGAAUCUCUUUAUAAUCCUAAGCAUUUUCUUUCAACUCCGUUUCCCUUGUACUAUGCUGGCUGGAAUGCAAGCGAUAUUUUAUCUGCAUAUUGCUUCUCAUCAGCUCUGAAUAGCUCUAAGGUCCAGGGGAAAAUUGUGGUCUGUGAUCAUGGUGGUGGCAUAUCAGGUGCUCAAAAAGGAGAACAUGUCAAGGCUGCCGGUGGCGUUGGCAUGAUUAUCAUAAAUGGACAGAACGAGGGUUACACCACUUUUGCCGAUGCUCAUGUCCUCCCGGCAACACAUUUAAGUUAUGCUGAUGGAGUUAAGGUCCUGAGCUACAUCAACUCAACAGAAUUACCAAUGGCUGCGAUUUCAUUCAAAGGAACUAUUAUUGGAGACGAUCAUGCUCCAGUGGUUGCUUCAUUUUCUUCCAGAGGUCCUAGCAUGGCAAGCCCUGGAAUUUUGAAGCCGGAUAUAAUUGGCCCUGGUGUAAACAUUCUCGCUGCUUGGCCUCAAUCCGUUGAAAACAACACAAACACCAAGUCCACAUUCAACAUACUCUCCGGCACCUCAAUGUCUUGCCCUCACCUCAGUGGUGUAGCUGCCCUGCUCAAAAGCGCGCACCCUGAUUGGUCUCCAGCUGCAAUUAAGUCCGCCAUCAUGACCACAGCUGAUCUUGUGAACCUUGCCAAGAAUCCAAUCGAGGAUGAAAGGCUUCUUCCUGCAAACAUUUUUGCGAUAGGUUCAGGCCACGUGAAUCCAUCAAGAGCAAACAAUCCAGGUCUAAUCUACGACAUUGUGCCAAAAGAUUACGUGCCUUAUUUGUGUGGUUUGAAUUACACCAGAAGGGGGCUUCUUUACAUUUUACAACGUAGGGUGAAUUGCGCCGAAGAAUCAAGCAUCCCUGAAGCACAAUUGAACUACCCUUCAUUCUCUAUCCAAUUUGGAUCACCUAUUCAACGUUACACAAGGACGGUUACUAAUGUUGGAGAGGCCAAAUCAGUUUACACGGUUAAGGUUGUUCCCCCUGAAGGUGUCGAGGUUAUAGUCAAACCCAAGACUCUGCGUUUCUCCGAGGUGAAACAGAAGGUGACAUAUGAGGUCGUAUUCAGUCAAUUGCCAACUGCAGCUAAUAAUACAGCGUCUCAGGGAUCUAUUACUUGGACUUCCGCAAAGGUCUCCGUCAGGAGUCCAAUUGCUACAAUUAUAGGUGAAAUGCCAAUGUUCUAGAUCAUCCAUGCAUAUAUAAAGACGCGUAACGUAGUAGGUAUCCCAUGCAUAUUCCAAUGGUUGGCGAUUUCCUUUUGCUUACAUUUUGAUGUUUUUGUUUUGGGUGUGAUUUCGAUUUGAAUAAACUUGUGCUUGUUUAUCUUUCGGUUUUCAUCAAAUAAGUCCCAAAUCAAAAUGCAGCCGAUACGAGCCACAGAAAGAACAAGAAGAACUGCACAACUCUUCUUAAACUUUCGUGAAAAUUACAAUUUGGGCCCCUCAAAGUUUUAUCUGAAGUUGAAUAUUGUCCUGCCAAGUUGUUUCAGCACUAACUUACCCGUUCCAUUCUUUAAUUUCUAGUCAAACACUAUUCCGCGAGUGUGUCAGUAUUAUUUGAAAUAAUUACUGUAACACUUUUUGUGAUGUGAUGUAUGUGAGAUAAAAAAUAGUUGGGAAUAUAAAAAGAUGAAUUGGAAAAUAUGUUUAUGAUGCAAGCGAAAUAUUAUUUGGAAUAAUUUAGCAAUCCAAACACACAAAUUUUUACGCGCUUAAAUUGUGUGGACUAAAUUAAUUGCUCUAAGGUCUGAGGACUCAAAACAAAUUCAUUUGCAACACUUUCUCCUAUUUUUUUUUUUACUUUUGAGCAAUUUUUUUUUUCCAAUUUUAACUAUUCAAACAUGUGUAUCACAUCACUUUCUGUCGUCAUCAUUAGAGGUGCUAUCGAACUCGAUCAAAAUUUGUGCUACUCGAGCUCGAGCUUGAACUCAAUCGAGUAAAAAAAUUUGGACUCGAACUCGACUCGAUGAAAUAAAACUAAACUCGAACUCGACUCGUUUGAGCUCGAGUAAGCUAGAGUAAAUAUCAAGCCCAAGCUACUCGAGUUCGAGCUCGAGUUUUGAAAUAAAUCUAUAAUUUUUUAAAAAAUAUAUAAUAUAUAAUAUAAUAUAAAUAAAAUAUGAAAGCUCGAUUAAGCUCGGCGAGUACUCAAGUACUUAUUUCUUGAGUUCGAACUCGACUCGAUUCGCAAGCUACUCGUUAAAAUCGAGCUCGAGUCAAGCUUUUGAUCAAGCUGCUCGUGAGUAGCUUGCGAGCAGCUUGACUUGCUAGCACCCCUAGUCAUCAUGUGUAAAUUGUUCCACAUAUGGCAUGUAUUUUUAUCAAUUCUUUUAAGUGGAGUGCACUUAAUGGUAAGAAGGUAGUAUGUUAAUUAAUUAAUUUUAUCUUUCUUUCUUUCUUUUUUCAGCAAUUCUUUCCAGAUAUGACAUGUAUUUUACUGGUUUGGGAAACAACUGACAUAUGAGAAAAGACAUAGGGAGAUCAAAACAUUAGUUAACCAUUUAAAUCAUUAAUAUUUUAAGGAAUUAGCCAAUAAAAGCUAACGCUUCUCAUUAGAAAUGGCAACAAGUCGGGAUUGGAGCGGGCGACCCCUUUCCCACCCCCUGCCUUGCUGCCUACUAAUUCAUCUCAACCCCACUUCCUGCUCUCCUUCGCGGGUGCCCUCAUGGGGUUAAUAAAAAUGUGUCAUAUAAUUUUAUUAUAAUAGAAUUUUAACAAAUAAUCAAGUAUUAAAAUAUCAACACAUCAUCAAAUUAUUAUCCAUUGUAAUUUCACAAUUGAAACCCAUAAAAACAAUCAAACAAAAGUUGUUUGAAUACAAUUCAACAUGAUGAAAUAAAUACAACUAAAGUAGUCAAAUUUUUACUUUUGACACAAAUAUAAUUACUAAGUCAUUAUUGUGGCUCUUUUAAGAAAAAAGUAUUAUUGCGUUAAGUGUAAUUAGAAAUUUAGUAUAAAUUAUUAGUAAAUUUAGUAUAACUAAUUAAUAAUUUUUAUUGAUAGACAUGUAUAAUUAUUAGUAUAAUUGAUAAUAUCAAUUAUAUUAAAUAUAUUAAUAUUCAUUGUAUAAUAUAUAUAACUAAUAAUAUCAUUAUUAUAAAUUUGUAACUAAUUAAAUUUAUUAAUUUUUUAACGGAUGACGAGGCCCUAUCCCCGCCCCAUUUCUAAAUGAGGGAAAAAAUUUCCUUUUACCCUACCCCACCACCUGCCUCAUUAGCCCCGCAUCGAUCCCAAUUGCCAUACCUACUUAUCAUUGAACCCGUAGAAAAGGUAACACAGCACUUGUCAAUGACAAGACUACUAAUCCUGAAAAAUGUCAUGUCCCAUCAAAAUUGGAAAACAAAUCUACAUUUGAAUGACAUCCAACCCUUUCUUGUUUAGGUUUUUUUUUUUUUAUUGUAAUGAUAACAAUUGUAGAUCCUACUUUACCUUAAUUUAAGAGAAAAGAAAAUCGACGGAAAUUUCAUCAAAAAAAGUCAUUGGAAGGUGAUAAUCACAAUUAAUAGGUAAGUUUAAUGGCCUCCCACCGUCCGAUGGCUUGCUUGCAUACUUCAAAAGUUGACUAUCAAUUACCGCCAAACAUCUUAGCUGGCAUACUAAAUUUCAACUUCCUAGGUCAACCUCCCUCGUGAAGUCAACUAUCCACCCAAAGCUUGUCAUCCAAGAUUUUCUACAUCCCAAUAUACAACAGUAAUCUGAUAGCUAAUGAUUCCAAAAUUACUGCUUCAUCUCCUCAAGUUAACUUGUUCAAUAAUGCAGGCUCUUGGUUACCUACUGUUAGUUUUGCUUAUGCAUGGUAUGGCUGUGGAGAAUAGAAACACAAAUAAUAGUUAUUUGGUGAAGGCAAGAGAGAUAAGAGAAGUCCUAUCUUGUCACAAAGUGGCAUCGUCCUACGCUGUUUACGAGCCAUCCAGGGUAGAACCGGGACAAGGAUGGCCGGCUAGUAAACCUCCUCCCCUGCCCAACCCUCCCACGCACAUGGAUGUUCCUGCUGCACCUUGUAUACGUGUUCUACAAGCGCCUCCGCCUCCCAGUUACUAAAGUUAAUCUUCAGCAGUUAUACAUUGACAUAUUUUUUUCUUUCUGAAAAAUGUCAUUGAACUUAAUUGUAAGAAGAUGUCAUUAGAUUUCGCAUACUCUUCACUAUUCUUUCCCUGUUUUGGGCUUUGCAUUUGGAAGUUUAUGUCCUUCCUCCUUGAAAAGAGUACUUGUGCUCGCAAAAUAGAUGAACAAGCUUUUUAUUCUCCUACUAGUGUAAGUGUGUAACUCUUACUUAAGGUUACUUUAAUUUAUUACUACUGCUUCUUUUUUUCUUUUUUUUCCUUCGGAAAAAAGUCUAAUCUUGAUAAGAAUGUUGAAUCGUAUUGAAAUUAUGGACAUUAGAAUCGACUGUCUUGACUUGAUCUGGUUUACAUUUCAUCACAAGAACACUAGUAGUGAACAAACUCAGAUCUAGUUACUUUGUAAUGUUGAAAAUGCCCUCCCAAUUUAAAUCAUUUAUUCCGAUUUUGCAUCAUUCAGUAGCUUCCCAGGUAAUUGAAUUACGAGCCUUUUUUGUACCAAAAUCUAGAAGUGGAAGUUGGCCAGUAAAAUCUUGCCCCUAAAGAUUAGACCACUAGCUGAAUCCACUUGGGUACUUCAUAUGUCGGGUGUGUUUAUCUCUAAUUUACACAUUUUACUAAUUAAUGCUGGCAAAGUUCUAAACAUAUUAGUGAUAGUAGUUAUAAGAGUUCUCAAGAAACUAAGUCUGUGAUUGUAGCAGUUCUUUGGAUGUCUCAUUUUGCAAAUUGCAAUUCUCUCACGAAUCUGGACCCUGCCUGGAGUUGGAGCGGAAACUCCCUAGAUUUUUCCGGGCAUAUAGAUAUAUAAUACAUCUUUUUUUUGUUGAACGAAAUGCACCACAUAACUACGGCUCAGAUGAACCUCGCUUGAUUGCCUCCUGAUUAAUUUUAUCAAGAAAGUACUAAUUUGAAUGUCUUGAAAGUCAUUGUGUUGAUCCGUCUAGUUGAGAAGUAAUUACGCUUGAAACCAUGUGAUCAUGUUCAAAGUCAACUUCUUUCGUUAUCCUAUUUAAACGCAGCAGUGCUUCAGUUUAACAUGCACUCAAUACUGGAUCAUCAAUUUUAUCGAAGUGAUUAUCACUAAUUAAGCAAGAAAUGAAGCUUUCAUCUUCCUUUCUAAUCGCAGUGGUGUUAUUCCUAGUCGUAGUUAAUCUUGCUUCCAUGUGUGAUGCCAGGCGUAUGUGCCCAACGGAUGCCGAGGGAGAUGAUUGCUACGGUAUACCAAGGAGAAACCCAGUCCCCGGCAACCCUCCUCCACCUCCAGUUGUGGUGCCCGUGCCCGUGCCAAAUAACCCUCCUCCUCCGCCGGCGGUGGUAGUACCAGUGCCCAACAACCCCGGUUAUGUCGGUCGCGUGUACCCAUGCCCCCAGCCGUGGAGACCACCUCAAAACCAUUUUCCUUACCCGAGUCGAUACCCAUACCCAUGCAACAAGAUUGUGACUCUGGAAUCUGGAUGGUUUCCUUUAUCCGAGUCUUAUCCAAAGUAUUUCCCAUUAUCGUUAUGUGAGUUUCCUCUUAUUAAUUAGCAGCCAGAUAAUAAAUAACGGCGCAUGUGCAGCCGUACGAACGUUUGGCAGAAUAAAGAAAACCCGGGAAAAAAGAAGCCCAAAAAAAAAAAAAAAAAACUGCCCAAAUAAAGAGUAGUUUUAUGUAUGCUGUGAUCUUGGUUUGUCUGGUCAAUGACGUGUAGUAUGUAAUGGCUUUGAAUUUAAUCUUUGUUUCCUGAUGAUUUGUUAGGAUCUGGUUUUUGCACGAAUAAUUAAGCUUUGUCCACCCUCCCUCAAGAAAUCCAGCAAUACGACCAUGAUAUGCUACAGAAACACCGUAGGCCAAAUGGUUUUGGAAAUCUAUGCAAUGUCACGCAGUAUUCAACUGACAAAAUUAAUGAACUAUAAGUUAUGCAAUGUCG
rnacentral:lncRNA from 1 species